GCCAGACUCCUACGGGAGGCAGCAGUGGGGAAUAUUGCACAAUGGGGGGAACCCUGAUGCAGCGACGCCGCGUGAAGGAAGAAGUAUCUCGGUAUGUAAACUUCUAUCAGCAGGGAAGAAAGAGGACGGUACCUGACUAAGAAGCCCCGGCUAACUACGUGCCAGCAGCCGCGGUAAUACGUAGGGGGCAAGCGUUAUCCGGAUUUACUGGGUGUAAAGGGAGCGUAGACGGUUACGCAAGUCUGGAGUGAAAGGCGGGGGCCCAACCCCCGGACUGCUUUGGAAACUGUAUAACUGGAGUGCAGGAGAGGUAAGUGGAAUUCCUAGUGUAGCGGUGAAAUGCGUAGAUAUUAGGAGGAACACCAGUGGCGAAGGCGGCUUACUGGACUGUAACUGACGUUGAGGCUCGAAAGCGUGGGGAGCAAACAGGAUUAGAUACCCCUGUAA
rnacentral:rRNA from 1 species